rnacentral:tRNA from 1 species
GGUGGCUCAGUGGUAGAGCACUUGCCUUGCAUGCAUGAGGCCCUGGGUACGAUUCCUCAGCACCA